rnacentral:rRNA from 1 species
GUUGGAGAUUUUAACGAAAUUCUAAUGCCAAGUGAGAAGGAAGGUGGGAAUACUUGACCACACCGUAUGCUUCAAGCUUUUAGUGAUUGUCUAUUUGAAUGUGGCCUGGACGGAGUUGAGUUUUUGGGAAAUCGGUUUAAAUGGAGACGCGGUGAUAUCCGGGAGAGACUGGAUUGGGCGGUAGGCAAUGAGGGAUGGUUAACAAAGUUUCCACUGGUGGCAGUUGUUCACGAGCAUCAUGUGUACUCUGAUCAUCGGUUAUUGUUGUUGAACAUUAUGAUGGAUCUCAGUUCAGGAAAUCGUACUGCAAAAAGUUUGGGGCCCGCUGGUUAUGUGAAGAAACAGUGA